AUGCAUAAGCUCGUAAAUGUUCAUUAUUUGGACAGGAUGACAUUUAUGCUUGGAAAUGACGAUGAAGGGGAAGAGGCUAUGGUUUUUGACACAAGUCCAAGCUUUGAUGAUCUUGUAGUUAAAGUGAGAAGCGUGUUACAUUGGAAUGACCCAAAUGCCGAGGUUAAGAUUAUUGGGAGGUAUGACGUUGGAUUGGGAGUAAAGUCCCAAUUAAAGAGUAUGCCCAUCACCUCCCAAUUGCAUUGGAAUGUGUACAAGGAAAAAGUAGACGCAUCAUAA
rnacentral:rRNA from 1 species